ensembl:lncRNA
CUCAGCUCAGGGAUCCAGCUUGCAUGCAGGAGAGAGAUUACAGUCGGAUCUGUGUUGUGGUCUGUUGAACAGCCUGACCCUUCAUGCACGGAUUAGCUCCAGUUACCAUUAAUGGAAAGUAGAGCAUUCGACCAGCCCACAGGCUCCUCUGAAGUCAUCCUGUGCAAAACAGUGCCUUCAACACCUGAAAUCUGAUCUCAGACUGGAGUCAGACAGAAAGAGGAGUUUGUUGUGCUGGAUCAACACUGCCUCCUGCAGACCGCUGGUGCUGAGCACAGAUUACAGAACAUUCACCAGCCAUGAAACUGCAUUUGGUGAAACUCGAGUUGCUAGAGAAUGAAGCUCAUCUCAUCUCUGAACCCAGACGCCCUUCGCAG